ACAACAUUCGGACAGUCGGUCUAUCGAGAAAUAUCACCCGCUCGGUGGAAGAUCUUCCUUUCGUCGU
rnacentral:pre_miRNA from 1 species